rnacentral:misc_RNA from 1 species
UGGGAGCUAAGAGAAUUGAAGUAGGAAUUGGAUGCGGAGUUGGUUUUGGCCAUGGCUUUGGAGUUGGCCUUGCUGUGAAACCUGGGGUGGUGCAGAAGAUUCAAGUCUGUCUCAUGCAAGUGAUGACAAAGAUGAUGGCAAAAUUCGGAAUGGCUCCCAAUCUAUCAAUUGGUCAAGGUGCCCUUCCAAUGUCAAUGCAAAGCGGCUUGAGCACAGUGAAUGGACCCUCAAUCCAAAAUCCAUUGGGAAGUAUCACACAACUGGCAACAAAACUUCCUGACCAAACACCUGAAAGCAUGCAUGGAUAUGGUAGUAUGAUUCCACAUUCAAGCUAUGAAAACUCCACGCCAACAAGCAGUAUAGUUGACACACCUUUUGGUAGUCGAACGGAAAAGGUCAUUAGCGGUUUUCUGAACAAUCCAAUUCUGAAAGAAGAUGAUAAAAACCUAAAUGAAGUGGCUGGACGCUUGCGUUCUGAAAACAACCUGCUUCAAAUGGUGUUGAAACACCAGCAAGUCAUUGAAAAGCUUAUGGAGGAGAAUGAGAAGCUUCGUCAGGUACUGGUGGAAGACCUGAAAAUAUCACCCAGCAAACUCCAUUCCAGUCACUCGCCUAGAAGUAACUCUGUGUGCGCUGAUUGUUUUGAGUGCCGAAGAAAACAAAGAAAAAGGAGAUGAAGUUAAUGUAAAUAUCACUGGAGAAGACAUUCAAGGUCUGGACCUCUAAGAUCUUAACUGAUGAUGCCCUUUACGAACUGUGCUUUUCUAGCAUUCGUUUGGCUUGGCCAUUCUUGCAGGACAAUAAUCUGGAGCUGUCAAUUGUAACUUGAAAGAUUAAAUUAUGAAGAUAGAUACAGAUUACUUGUAAAAAAACUGAUCAAGUUGCUUUGAAUAUACACUUAGUUGAAGAGCUUUUGAAGUCAGGCCUGCCAGAAGGUAACCUAACCUUUCCUUUUGCACUUUUCUUUAUAUAUAUAUAUUUGUUAAGCUUUAACUUUGAUGAGGG